GACGAACGCUGGCGGCGUGCUUAACACAUGCAAGUCGAACGGAAAGGCCUCUUUCGGGGGGUACUCGAGUGGCGAACGGGUGAGUAACACGUGAGUAACCUGCCCUUGACUUUGGGAUAACUUCAGGAAACUGGUGCUAAUACCGGAUAGGAGCUCCUGCUGCAUGGUGGGGGUUGGAAAGUUUCGGCGGUUGGGGAUGGACUCGCGGCUUAUCAGCUUGUUGGUGGGGUAGUGGCUUACCAAGGCUUUGACGGGUAGCCGGCCUGAGAGGGUGACCGGCCACAUUGGGACUGAGAUACGGCCCAGACUCCUACGGGAGGCAGCAGUGGGGAAUAUUGCACAAUGGGUGGAAGCCUGAUGCAGCAACGCCGUGUGCGGGAUGACGGCCUUCGGGUUGUAAACCGCUUUCGCUCAUGACGAAGCUUUGUGUGACGGUAGUGGGUAAAGAAGCACCGGCUAACUACGUG
rnacentral:rRNA from 1 species